UACGAAGGGGGCUAGCGUUGCUCGGAAUCACUGGGCGUAAAGGGUGCGUAGGCGGGUCUUUAAGUCAGGGGUGAAAUCCUGGAGCUCAACUCCAGAACUGCCUUUGAUACUGAAGAUCUUGAGUUCGGGAGAGGUGAGUGGAACUGCGAGUGUAGAGGUGAAAUUCGUAGUUAUUCGCAAGAACACCAGUGGCGAAGGCGGCUCACUGGCCCGAUACUGACGCUGAGGCACGAAAGCGUGGGGAGCAAACAGG
rnacentral:rRNA from 1 species